ACAUUUGCUAAAGUGCUUACAGGUAGAGCAGAUAGUGCUGAUCUGAUGCCUGUUCCAGAAACAUCUGUGCCUGACCUUCAAGCUUGUAUUUAUAAAACAGAACUGAACUAGCUGGUAGCAUUUACUCUGGAAUGAAGGAUGGAACUGACCACACAUCAACCCUUUAAAUGCCUCAAGAACAUCCUGAUCCAGGAGCAAGAAAACACUUUGGACCAGCAAGCAAUCUUGUUGGAAAACUGAGAGUCUGAAAGCCAGGAAUUCGGAGCUAUGAAUAAAAAGUCCAGAUGGGAUUUUCCAAAAGGAGCAGAAAGUCAGUAGGAGAAAAGUUGGAGCUGUACAUCCUCAAUGAGUUGCUACUUCUGUUAUACACAGAAAAUUAAAAGUUGAAUGAAACCCGCAACUAAGAAAUACCAAGUUCAACUAAAUUAAUAAAAUGUGACGGAGUUUUGCUCUUGUUCCCCAGGCUGCAAUACAAUGGCGUGAUCUCAGCUCACUGUAACCUCUGCCUCCCAGGUUCAAGCUAUUCUUCUGCCUCAACCCCUCCGAGCUGCUGGAAUUACAGGCACGCGCCACCAUGCCCAGCUAAUUUUUGUAUUUUUAGGAGAGACGGGAUUUCACCACAUUGGCCAGGCUGGUCUUGAACUCCUGACCUCAAUUGAUCCACCCACCUUGGCCUCCCAAAGUGCUAGGAUUACAAGCAUGAGCCACUGUGCCUGGCCAUUUAAUAGAUCUUUAUUGAGCAAUGAUUUGUGUCAAAUUUAAGCAUGAGAUAUUCAGGAUGAAUAAGAAAGAGUGCCAUGGAUCUUGUUCAAUUAACAGCGUCCUAUCAGGCAUUGUUCUAGAAAAAGUACUUGUGAACACAGAGUUUAUGUCCACAGCAAAGCAGCAGAAAACAAACAAAUGAUGCACAUACAAAUGUUAUUAUGUGAAGUGGGGAUCAGCGAUGAGAAUUUAAAUCAAGCAGUGUCAAAAGACUGAGAGUGACUUGAGCCAGUGCUGUGAUCUGAUGAGGUGAGACAUGAAUUUAGUGAGAAGAGCUAUGUUAACACCUGGAUGAACAACGUGCCAGCCAGAAAAGAGAGCAAGUACAGUGGCCAUGAGGGGGACCAUUUUUGGUGGCUUUGAAAAGCAGCAAGGUGGCCAGUGUUACUGUGAUAGAAUAAUAAGGGGCAGAGAAGGAGUAGGGGGCAUCUGAGCAGUAGCCGGAGAGCAGAUCAUGUAGGGCUUUGCAGGAUAUGGUAAGGAAUCCUGGCUUUAUUCAGAGUAAGAUGGAAAGGAAUGGGAAAAAACAGUAUGAUCAGAACAUGAUCUGAGUUAGUUUCUGCAGGGAUCCCUGUCAUGUGGGAUGGGGGUUGGGAAAGUGGAAGUCAGAUGAACAUCUGGCAGCCCUUGCAAUGGUCCAAACCAGAAGAUAAUUGCUUCAAUAAAUGCUGUGUGUGUUAAAGGAUUAGUGAUUAGCUGGAGUGGGAAGAAGCUGUUGGAUUCUGGAUAUAGUUUAGGACUGAGCAACAAAAUUUGCUGCUAAGUUGGAUAUAGGAUGUGAGGGAAGGAGAGAGGAGUCAUGGUUGACACCAAGAUUUUUGUCUGUGAUGUGCAGUUAUCAUUUGCUGAUGUGAAUAAGACAGAAGAGAGAUGGGCUGAGGGGGAUAAUUAGAAACCAAGAGUUCAGUUUUGGAUACAUUAAGUGUAUACACAAAUGUGCACAUACAAGUGCACACACUUAUACACACACUUAAGUAGAAGUGUUUGAGUGGGUAGUUAGAUAUAUAAGUCUGCAAGUUCAGGAAAGAGGCCCAGUUGGAGUGGGAGUUGUCAGCGGAUAGGUGCUAUUUAAGGCCAUGCUAUUAGAUGAGGCCACUCAGAGAUCUAGAAAGCAUGACCUUCAGAUAACACAGUCUCUGAGUAAAGAAUGUGGCGAGAACACUUUAUCUCAUACUGCUUGUACGUUAUUUAUAUCAAAUCAAGGAUUCAUUCAUUCUCAUUUACUCAUUCCUUUAUUUAUUCACUCACAUUUUAUUUAACAGAUAUCUGAUAGUGCCCUGCCAGGCACUAAACCAGGUACUAAGGACAUAGUGAAGAACAACAGAGGCAUGCUCGUUGGACAGUUCUAUAAAUCCCAGCUACAGGCAUACCUCAUUGUAUCACAUUUCAUUUUACUGCACUUUGUAGAUAUUGCAUUUUUCGCAAAUUGAAGGUUUGUGGCAACCUUGCAUUUAGCAAAUCAAUCAGUGCUGUUUUUCCAACAGCGUUUGCUUACUACGUGUCUUUGUAUCAUAUUUGAUAACUCUCACAAUCUUUGAAACAUUUUCGUUAUUAUAUCUGUUAUGGUUAUCUGUGAUCGGUGCUCUUUGAUGUUACUAUUUUAGUUGUUUUGGUGCAUGAUGAAGUAUGCUCAUAUAGGACGGUGAACGUAAUCAAUAAAUGCUGUGUGUGUUCUGACUGCUCCUCUGACUGGUCAUUCCCCUGUUUUUCUCCCAUACCCUGAGAUACAAUAUUGAAAUUAGACCAGUUAAUAACCCUACGCUAGCCUCAAAAUGUUCAAGUGAAUGGAAGAGUCACCCAUCUCUUACUUUAAGUCAAAAGCUAGAAAUGAUUAAGCUUAGCAAGGAAGGCAUGUCAAAAGUGAAAAAGGCUGAAAGCUUGGCCUAUUGUGCCAAAUAGCCAAGUUCUGAAUGCUAAGAAAUAGUUCCUGAUGGAAAUUAAAAGUGCUCCUCCUCUAGUGAACACAUAAAUGAUAAGAAAGCUAAACAGCCUAUUGUGUGGUGUUUUGUUUGUUAGUUUGUUUUUACAGGGUCUCACUCUGUGGCCCAGGCUGAAGUGCAGUGGUGUAAUCACAGCUCACUGCAGCCUUGACCUCCCAGGCUUAAGCGUUCCUCCCUCCUCAGCCCCUUAAGUAGCUGCGACUACAGGCAGGCAACACCACACCCGGCUAAUUUUUGUAUUUUUUGUACAGCUGGGGUUUCACCAUGUUACCCAGGCUGGUCUCAAACUCCUGGACUCAGCUGAUCGGUCUGCCUUGGCCUCCCAAAGUGCUGGGAUUACAGGCAUGAGCCACCGUGCCUGGCCAAGGCAGCCUUUCUUAUCAAAUUUUAGUAGGCUGGAUAGAAGAUUAAAGCAGCCGCAAUAUUCCCUUAAACCAAGUCUAAUCCAGAGCAGGCCCUAACUCUCUUCAAUGCUAUGAAGGCUGAGAGAGACGAAGAAACUGC
rnacentral:lncRNA from 10 species